GCUCGCCAACCCGGUCGUCGUUA
rnacentral:siRNA from 1 species